AUGCUGGACCGAUCAAGCGCGCCUAGGCCGGACGGCCUCGGCCCGGCGUUCUACCAGGCGGCAUGGGGCGUCGUCUUCAAGGACCUGCAGCGGCUGUUCGCUGUUGUCCACGACUGGACGGCGAACAUCGCCCUCGUGCCCAAAGGUGCGGGGGUGCCAACGCCGGCUGCCUUUCGCCCGGUCUCUCUUCAGAAUGCGGAUGUAAAAAUUCUUUGCCGCGGCCUCACCUCGCAGCUGCAGCAGCAGAUCGGCGGCAUCAUCGACUGCGAUCAGUCCGGGUUCCUGGUUGGUCGGAGCAUCUCCGAGAACUUUGUCUGCGCCGCCGAGAUCAUCAAGUGCUGCCACAAGCGCCGUGCCCCCACGCUCGUCUUCAAGCUCGACUUCGCCAAGGCAUUUGACUCUGUGGACUGGGGUGCGCUGCGCCGCAUCCUCGAGGUGCGAGGGUUCCCUGCCCAAUGGUGCUCCUGGCUGGACUCGAUCUUCCGGUCCUCUCGAUCGGCGGUGCUCCUGAACGGUGUGCCUGGGAAAUGGUACACGGUGCGGCGGGCGCUGCGUCAGGGGGACCCGAGCUCGCCCUACCUCUUCCUCAUCGUCGCCGACGUGCUGCAGCAGAUGAUCCGGCAAGAUGGCAGGCUUUUUCACCCUCUUGUGGACGGAGAGACGCCCCUCGUGCUGCAAUAUGCAGACGAUACGCUGGUUAUUCUCAAGGUGGACACCGGAGCGGCUGCCCGUCUCCGAUGGAUCCUUGACGACUUCGCGGCCGCUACGGGGCUCGCCAUCAACUUCUCCAAAAGCACGCUCGUCCACAUGCAUGUGCCGGCGGACGUGCUGGACAUAACCGUCGGCGCCCUUGGUUGUGAUGUCCAAGGAUUCCCGCAGGCUUACCUCGGGCUCCCUCUCUCAUGGAGAAACUCUGCUUUGCGGAUUUCCUCCCCAUGA
rnacentral:rRNA from 1 species